GACGAACGCUGGCGGCGUGCUUAACACAUGCAAGUCGAACGGAAAGGCCCUGCUUUUGUGGGGUGCUCGAGUGGCGAACGGGUGAGUAACACGUGAGUAACCUGCCCUUGACUUUGGGAUAACUUCAGGAAACUGGGGCUAAUACCGGAUAGGAGCUCCUGCUGCAUGGUGGGGGUUGGAAAGUUUCGGCGGUUGGGGAUGGACUCGCGGCUUAUCAGCUUGUUGGUGGGGUAGUGGCUUACCAAGGCCUUGACGGGUAGCCGGCCUGAGAGGGUGACCGGCCACAUUGGGACUGAGAUACGGCCCAGACUCCUACGGGAGGCAGCAGGGGGGAAUAUUGCACAAUGGGCGGAAGCCUGAUGCAGCAACGCCGCGUGCGGGAUGACGGCCUUCGGGUUGUAAACCGCUUUCGCCUGUGACGAAGCGUGAGUGACGGUAAUGGGUAAAGAAGCACCGGCUAACUACGUG
rnacentral:rRNA from 1 species